GGACUACACGGGUUUCUAAUCCUGUUUGCUCCCCACGCUUUCGCGCCUCAGCGUCAGUAUCGGACCAGGUCGCCGCCUUCGCCACCGGUGUUCUUCCCAAUAUCUACGAAUUUCACCUCUACACUGGGAAUUCCACGACCCUCUUCCGAACUCAAGCCCGUACGUAUCAAACGCAGUCCCCAGGUUGAGCCCGGGAAUUUCACGUCUGACUGUACGAACCGCCUACGCGCCCUUUACGCCCAGUCAUUCCGAGCAACGCUAGCCCCCUUCGUAUUACCGCGGCUGCUGGCAC
rnacentral:rRNA from 1 species